rnacentral:rRNA from 1 species
UAGGGAAUCUUCCACAAUGGGCGAAAGCCUGAUGGAGCAACACCGCGUGAGUGAAGAAGGGUUUCGGCUCGUAAAGCUCUGUUGUUAAAGAAGAACACGUAUGAGAGUAACUGUUCAUACGUUGACGGUAUCUAACCAGAAAGCCACGGCUAACUACGUGCCAG